UCCUGGUUAGCUCAGUGGGUAGAGCGCUCCACUGGAAAUGGAGGGGCCCCCGGUUCGAUAUCAGGAUCAGGCG
rfam:Ixodes scapularis strain Wikel colony gcontig_1108379636386, whole genome shotgun sequence.